rfam:Triticum aestivum genome assembly, contig: Triticum_aestivum_CS42_TGACv1_scaffold_031764_1BL
CUUGUACUUCCCCCGUUAGAAAAUACUUGUCAUUGAAAUGGAUGUAUCUAGAUGUAUUUUAGUUCUAGACACAUCCAUUUUGAUGACAAGUAAUUCCGGAUGGAGGGAGUACUUG